CUUCGCAGCACCCUCUCCCCGCCCCAGCCCUCCGCGCGGAGUCCCGCGGGGGUCUGCUGGGGAAGGCCCGGCUGUGCUUCUCCGACUCCGUCCCGGCUCUGAGCCCGGCUCCCCGGCAGUGCAGGAAGCGUUUGCUGGGGCGGAGGCACCGAGUGGAGAAACACCUAACAGGAUCUCCCGGUGCCCUGCAGCGCUGGCCGUGGCAGAGUGGCGCCCAACAUGGGGCUGAAAGAGAAAGUCCCCCACGAGCCGAACAGAGAAAAGAAAAAUGAAGGUCUGCUACGAAUGAACGAAGAAACAAGGAAGGUCUGCCUAAAGCAGGAAAAGGCGAAACUGCCGACGGUGGAAACGGUAGCCUGGCACUCGACGGAGUCGCGACCAUGAGUGAGAGAAUUACUGACUUCAAACUCAACCUAAAACAAGGCUCUAAUAAGAAAAACACCAAUGCCUGGACAAAAAGAAGACAACUAGAAGCAGACCACUGUCUCAAGAUUGUCACACCUGACUUAAACCUACCAUGUCCAGCCACCCAGUACUUGUCGCCCCUAGCCAGCAGGAAGCAGCUACAGAAGACAGGACCAACCGUCACGACCCCCAUUCCAUAUAACCAAAGGCUGGACUAGUGGGUUCCCAGGAGGAUGGAGACAGAUCCCAUCCCCUGAAUGUGACUGUUCAAUUUGGAGACGUGCUGUGGACAUGGUCUGCAGAGUCAGAUUGACCCAUAGAAACCAGAUGCACGCUCUGCAAUCAAAAUUUACGAGUACUAUUCUUAAGUAACAAAUAAAACAGGAGGAAAUGUUGGGAGACCAUUGAAACUGCAGAACUAUGCAGUAAACAAAUUUGGCACACGUGCAAAAGCACAACCACUAAGAGAUAGCUUUAUCAUUACCUGCACCUGAUUUUGCUCAUUAACCUACGUCAGCUUCCCUAAUAAAAGUCACGUGGGCUAAAGCCAAGGUGCCUUUGUUCUACGGAACGGAGGGCCUCCUGGUCCCCCACAUUCUAAAUG
ensembl:lncRNA